rnacentral:rRNA from 1 species
UGGGCGACUAGAGUGUGGUAGAGGGUAGUGGAAUUCCCGGUGUAGCAGUGAAAUGCGUARAGAUCGGGAGGAACAUCCAUGGCGAAGGCAGCUACCUGGACCAACACUGACACUGAGGCACGAAAGCGUGGGGAGCAAACAGGAUUAGAUACCCUGGUAGUCCACGCCCUAAACGAUGCGAACUGGAUGUUGGGUGCWWUUUGGCWYGCAGUAUCRAAKCUAACGCGUUAAGUUCSCCGCCUGGGGAGUACGGUCGCAAGACUGAAACUCAAAGGAAUUGACGGGGGCCCGCACAAGCGGUGGARUAUGUGGUUUAAUUCKAUGCMACGCGAAGAACCUUACCUGGUCUUGACRUGUCGAGAACUUUCCAGAKAUGGAUUGGUGCCUUCGGGAACUSGAACACAGGUSCUGCAUGGCKGUCGUCAGCUCGUGUCGUGAGAUGUUGGGUUAAGUCCCGCAACGAGCGCAACCCUUGUCCUUAGUUGCCAGCACGUAAUGGUGGGAACUCUAAGGAGACCGCCGGUGACAAACCGGAGGAAGGUGGGGAUGACGUCWAGUCAUCAUGGCCCUUACGACCAGGGCUACACACGUACUACAAUGGUAGGGACAG